rnacentral:lncRNA from 1 species
AACUUUUUGGUAACAAUUUAGACAUUUUAAGUACAAAUAAUAUACUUUUUUUUUUCUUUUUUUUCCCCAGAUGUGGUUGCAUCAAACAGAUCUAUUUCUGCAGCCAGUCCUAGGAUCUUACAAAGGUCAUGUUUCUUCUCUUAUUUUGAAGAAUCCUGACAUAGUUGAGAUUAGAAGAGCUUUAACAGAGGAGGCUGGAAGAGGCUUGGCCUGAGUGACUACUGAAAGGAUACCUGAAAGGAAUGACGCAAGUGAGAACUUGGGCAUAUGAGAGCCUUUUGACAAGUUCAGGCUAUAUCCGGAUGUGAGAACAUGCUUGCCUGUUAGGCAAGUUGGCAACUGGGAAUGCGCUCAGACUCCCACUCCAUCAGUAAUUUAGACCAGAGGUUGUCAGCCUGUGGCUCAUGAAUGAUUUUGGACUUAGAGCUGAUAGAAGGCCA